GCAAACUUGGUCAUUUAGAGGAAGUAAAAGUCGUAACAAGGUUUCCGUAGGUGAACCUGCGGAAGGAUCAUUAUCGAGUUUUGAACGGGUUGUAGCUGGUCUUUAACGAGACAUGUGCACGCCUGGCUCAUCCACUCUCAACCUCUGUGCACUUUAUGUAAGAAACGGUGUCAGCCAGCUAUCUAAUAGUUGGUAAUAAGCCUUUCUUAUGUUUAUUACAAACGCUUCAGUUAUAGAAUGUUUACUGUGUAUAACACAAUUAUAUACAACUUUCAGCAACGGAUCUCUUGGCUCUCGCAUCGAUGAAGAACGCAGC
rnacentral:misc_RNA from 1 species